UGUUGCAGCGUGGGUGAACAGAGAGAGAGGCUGGAAGCUGGAUUAAGCUCUAUGCCUCCCAUCCCCAUUUCCCAACAAUGCUUCCUUUGUACCACUGAGCUAUGUCUUUCAGUAGAAGAGUGCUGUGGAGCUUCAGAAUUGCAAGAAGGAAAGAGCUAUCAAUCCUGCAACGUGAGAGGUCUGAUCGUCCCAGAGUAAUUCAGCCCAGUGCCCCAUGAGACUGUGGUGACCUGAGAUCAGAAGCAUGAUUUCAAAUUCUCAGGAUUGAAAUCAUCACGAUUUCAAAUCACCACGAUUUCAAAUCACAGGCAGCAUUCAAGGAAUGUGCAUAUGAAAAGGAAAGGCACUUCAAGCUUCUCGCUUUCAUUUACAUCACUGGAAUGUGGAAGUAGUUUCAGAAGAGUCAGAUGAGGCCCACGAGGCCUCAAGUCCUCGAAGGCUCACAGCAGCAUCGAGUUAUUCAUCAAUGCAACGGGUUCUGUGUGCACAGAGAGCCUCAGAGAGGCCACACUGCCACUCUACAGACCCAGGGAAAAGGCAGCCUGACAGAAGUCAUCCUGACAGGAGGACUCACAUCAUGCCAGGAAGGAUACAAGAAAUAAAAAGAGCUGAUCUCCAAUCCACAUCCACUCUUGGAUGCUCCUAAAUGGGUACAAUAUUCAGCGAGCAUCUUUUGAGUAGUGGAUACUUUUGUUUAGGGACACGAAGCCCAUGCCCUGCAGGAACAACUGCUGGUGUUAUCAACACCUGUGGACAAACAGCCCCUGCCUGCUGCCUCCAAGUACCAGGAAUGCUCCCUGGACACAAGUGCUACCCACAAGACCCAGAGUCACCAAGCUGGACUUGAGAAAGAUUACACAGCUUGAGCACAGGUUAAUGUCAGCAUUUGGUGAAUGAGAAGACACUUAUACUUGAAUGUUUACCCAAGAGAAAAUUCUGUAAUUUCUGAAUUUCUGCCUCAAAGAAGACCAAGGAGGCAGCAUUUCUGAAUUUCCUCCUAAUUUCCCACAAACCUCAGGGAGAAAAGAUUUUGAACAGUUCAAUUGAAUGUAAUAAUACAUAGAAAUACAUGAAGCUAUCUACAAAAAUAAAA